rnacentral:rRNA from 1 species
AUACCGGAUACGCCCUUUUGGGGAAAGGUUUACUGCCGAAGGAUCGGCCCGCGUCUGAUUAGCUUGUUGGUGGGGUAACGGCCUACCAAGGCGACGAUCAGUAGCUGGUCUGAGAGGAUGAUCAGCCACACUGGGACUGAGACACGGCCCAGACUCCUACGGGAGGCAGCAGUGGGGAAUAUUGGACAAUGGGCGCAAGCCUGAUCCAGCCAUGCCGCGUGAGUGAUGAAGGCCUUAGGGUUGUAAAGCUCUUUUGUCCGGGACGAUAAUGACGGUACCGGAAGAAUAAGCCCCGGCUAACUUCGUGCCAGCAGCCGCGGUAAUACGAAGGGGGCUAGCGUUGCUCGGAAUCACUGGGCGUAAAGGGCGCGUAGGCGGCCGAUUAAGUCGGGGGUGAAAGCCUGUGGCUCAACCACAGAAUUGCCUUCGAUACUGGUUGGCUUGAGACCGGAAGAGGACAGCGGAACUGCGAGUGUAGAGGUGAAAUUCGUAGAUAUUCGCAAGAACACCAGUGGCGAA